rnacentral:rRNA from 1 species
GACGAACGCUGGCGGCGUGCUUAACACAUGCAAGUCGAACGGUAAGGCCCUUCGGGGUACACGAGUGGCGAACGGGUGAGUAACACGUGGGUGAUCUGCCCUGCACUUCGGGAUAAGCCUGGGAAACUGGGUCUAAUACCGGAUAGGACUCCGGACUGCAUGGUCUGGGGUGGAAAGCUUUUGCGGUGUGGGAUGGGCCCGCGGCCUAUCAGCUUGUUGGUGGGGUGAUGGCCUACCAAGGCGACGACGGGUAGCCGGCCUGAGAGGGUGACCGGCCACACUGGGACUGAGUUACGGCCCAGACUCCUACGGGAGGCAGCAGUGGGGAAUAUUGCACAAUGGGCGCAAGCCUGAUGCAGCGACGCCGCGUGAGGGAUGACGGCCUUCGAGUUGUAAACCUCUUUCAGCAUCGACGAAGCGAAAGUGACGGUAGGUGCAGAAGAGGGACCGGCCAACUACGUGCCAGCCGCCGCCGUAA